AAAAAGGUAAGCUAAAUAAGCUACCAGGUUCAUACCCUGUUUAUGAGAAUAAUUCUCCCUUUUUA
rnacentral:tRNA from 1 species